UACGUAGGGUGCAAGCGUUAAUCGGAAUUACUGGGCGUAAAGCGUGCGCAGGCGGCUUUUGCAAGACAGAUGUGAAAUCCCCGGGCUUAACCUGGGAACUGCAUUUGUGACUGCAUGGCUAGAGUGCGGCAGAGGGGGAUGGAAUUCCGCGUGUAGCAGUGAAAUGCGUAGAUAUGCGGAGGAACACCGGAUGGCGAAGGCAAUCCCCUGG
rnacentral:rRNA from 1 species